rnacentral:rRNA from 1 species
AAUGAACGCUGGCGGCGUGCCUAACACAUGCAAGUCGAACGGAAACACAGUAAGAGCUUGCUCUUACGGGUGGCGAGUGGCGGACGGGUGACGAAUACAUCGGAAUCUACUUUUUCGUGGGUGAUAACGUAGGGAAGCUUACGCUAAUACAGCAUACGAUCUACCGUUGAGAGCAGGGGAUCUUCGCACCUUGCGCGAUUGUAUUAGCUGAUUCCGGACUAGCUAGUUGGGUGGGUAAAGGCCCACCAAGGCAACGAGUCCUAGCCGGUCUGAGAGGAGGAUCGGCCACACUGGAACGGAGACACGGUCCAGACGCCUACGGGAGGCAGCAGUGGGGAAUAUUGGGCAAUGGGCGCAAGCCUGAUGCAGCAAUGCCGCGUGAGUUAGGAAGGCCUUGGGGUCGUAAAGCUCUUUUUUUGGGUAAGAAAAGCAGUAGGUUAAUACCCGGAUGUCCUGACGGUACCGAAUGAAUAAGCACCGGCUAACUUCGUG